CCGGCGCGCUCCUGAAGCCACUUUCCCGAGCGGAAGUCAGCCUGCGUUUCGGGCCCUUUGGGGACCUGCUCGGAGGAAUGGCGCUGCCGGGUGCCUGAUCCUGUAGAGUCUCAACAACAGUACUGUCUAUUGUCAACACAAUGAUCCUGUUAAAAUGUUCAGGCACUGUCCUCCUGCUGUCCCUGACAAUCAUAGCCAGUGCCCUGGCUCUGACGCCCACUCACUACCUCACCAAGCAUGAUGUGGAAAGGCUGAAAGCUUCGCUGGACCGCCCUUUCACAAGUUUAGAAUCUGCUUUCCACUCCAUCGUGGGGCUCAACAGCCUCGGUGCCCGGGUGCCAGAUGUAAAGAAAGCCUGCGCCUUCAUUAAAUCAAACCUUGAUCCCAGCAAUGUGGAUUCCCUGUUCUACGCAGCCCAGUCCAGCCAGGCCCUCUCAGGCUGUGAGAUCUCUAUUUCCAAUGAGACCAAAGAUCUGCUUCUGGCAGCUGUCAGUGAAGACUCGUCUGUUUCCCAGAUCUACCACGCGGUUGCAGCCCUGAGUGGCUUCGGCCUUCCCUUGGCUUCCCAGGAAGCACUCAGUGCUCUCACCGCUCGCCUCAGCAAGGAGGAGACCGUGCUAGCAACAGUCCAGGCUCUGCAGACGGCAUCUCACCUGUCCCAGCAGGCUGACCUGAGGAGUAUCGUGGAGGAGAUUGAGGACCUUGUUGCUCGCCUGGAUGAACUGGGAGGCUUGUAUCUGCAGUUCGAAGAAGGACUGGAAACAACAGCAUUAUUUGUGGCUGCCACCUACAAGCUCAUGGACCAUGUGGGGACUGAGCCAUCGAUUAAGGAGGAUCAGGUCAUCCAGCUGAUGAACGCAGUCUUUAGCAAGAAGAACUUCGACUCGCUCUCAGAGGCCUUCAGUGUGGCCUCUGCCGCCGCCGCGCUCUCCCAGAAUCGCUACCACGUGCCGGUUGUGGUUGUGUCCCAGGGCUCUCCUUCCGACACGCAUGAACAGGCGAUCCUGCGGUUACAGGUCACCAACGUUCUGUCCCAGCCUCUGACUCAGGCAACUGUUAAACUAGAGCACGCUAAAUCCGUUGCUUCCAGAGCCACUUUCCUGCAGAAGACCUCUUUCACCCCUGUGGGGGAUGUUUUUGAACUAAACUUCAUGAAUGUCAAGUUGUCCAGUGGUUAUUAUGACUUCUCCGUCAAAGUUGAAGGUGACAACCGCUAUAUUGCAAACAGUGUAGAGCUCAAAGUCAAGAUCUCAACUGAAGUUGGCAUCACCAAUGUUGAUCUCUCCACUGUGGAUAAGGAUCAGAGCAUUGCCCCCAAAACCACACGGGUGACCUACCCAGCCAAGGCCAAGGGCACAUUCAUCGCAGAUAGCCACCAGAACUUUGCUCUGUUCUUCCAGCUGGUGGACGUGAACACGGGUGCCGAGCUCACACCUCACCAGACAUUUGUCCGACUUCAUAACCAGAAGACUGGCCAGGAAGUGGUGUUUGUUGCUGAGCCAGACAGCAAGAAUGUAUACAAGUUUGAGUUGGAUACUUCCGAGAGAAAGAUCGAAUUUGACUCUGCAUCCGGCACCUACACUCUCUACUUGAUCAUCGGAGAUGCCACUUUGAAGAACCCAAUCCUGUGGAACGUGGCUGAUGUGGUCAUCAAGUUCCCUGAGGAAGAUGCUCCAUCCACUGUUCAGUCGAAGAACCUUUUUACCCCAAAACAGGAAAUUCAGCACCUGUUUCGUGAGCCUGAGAAGAGGCCCCCCACAGUGGUGUCUAAUACAUUCACCGCCCUGAUCCUCUCUCCCUUGCUCCUGCUCUUUGCUCUGUGGAUCCGGAUUGGUGCCAAUGUCUCCAACUUCACUUUUGCUCCUAGCACGAUAAUCUUUCACCUGGGACACGCUGCUAUGCUGGGGCUCAUGUACAUCUACUGGACUCAGCUCAACAUGUUCCAGACCCUGAAGUACCUGGCUAUCUUGGGCAGUGUGACGUUUCUGGCUGGCAAUCGGAUGCUGGCCCAUCAGGCGAUCAAAAGGACCUUUGCAGGGAGAAUGUAAUUCAGAAUGUGCCCUCCAGCAAGGCUGCGGAUUAAGUUGGAUCGCUGCAGAGCAGAGCAGUAGAUUGGCAAAAUAUAGGACAUUACGAACAGCGCAUUAGUCCCAGAAGAAAGGAAAGUCUAAAACCCAAAACAAAUGUCAAGAAGAGGAGUCAAGAACAAUUUUGUUUGAAAGGGGGAAUGAAAAAAUUACUGUGUUUAUGAAGAAGCAAGUUGACACUGUGGUUACACUGUGCUUGUUUUUCUGUUGCCCACACAGAGCCGGAGGGGCCAGACAGUCUGUUCCUCAGCAGGACGCCCUAGCAGGACGCUGUGAAUACUUCUGACUUACCCUAAUGUUGCAUUGGAACAGUUGAAGUCUGUAAAAAGUCUGUUUUGGAAUAAAGAGAAUAAUGGGGACAAAGGUC